rnacentral:lncRNA from 7 species
AGGAGGGACUCGGCUCCCACUGUGUGAUGGCUGUGUGAGUGGCAUACUUUGCUGAAGUGCGUCCAGAUCCUUUUUUGGGAAGCUGGGAGGCGUCUCCUUGCUGUGAGAGAGAAACAUGGUGCAAUCUUUUCAUCGCUCGGUUUUAGUGACACAGGUUCAAGCAGAACCAAGGAAACCAUUCCUCCUGUCCAAGAGACAGUCUCGUGGAUCCUCAGUUCCCUUCGCAGCACUUGUUCAACCUUUAACCUUUUAAGGACCAUAUCUGGCAACUGAACAGGGAUUACCUGAGCAGAGAAUCAUAAAACCAUUCGAAUUGGAAGGGACCCUGAAGUGUCAGUUCGUCCAACUCCCCUGCAAUGAACAGCUACAUCAGGGUACUCAGAGCCCCAUCUAGCUUGACCUUGAGUGUCUCCAAGGACAGGGGAUCCACUAAACCAUUCUUAAUUGGUGCAAAGUCAAAUUGUUUUUAAAGCAAUAUUUAAAGUUAUGUGUCUGCUAUUUCAGAUAACUCUGUAAAAGCACCUGUGGUUAAUGGUUAUUCAAAAUGAAGUUGCUUCAUUCAGUUUCUAGAAUUAAGGAACUGUAAUUUAUUAGCCUCAAUAGUGAAUAAAGAAUAUAUUUU